UUAUAAUUAAAGAACUAGUGUUAUAUAAUUUGAGUUAUGCGGGAUUACGCUUUCUAAAUGUAUUUGUAUAUUCCGCGGUUCCAAGCCGAACAUUCUCUAUUAUUUUUGCUGCCGACGGGCGACCGCAUGGGCGACGGGCGAGGAGAACGAAAGCGUAACUUUGAUUAAAUAAGGAAGCAAAGUUUAAAUAUGUAACAGGUAGACUCCACAACGCUGACUCUAUAACGCAGCUCCAUAAAGCAGAGUCCAUAAUACACCAUAAACAAAAUAUGAAUUUUACCAAGUCUAUAAAAAAGCAAAGGAUGCCAAAGACGUCACGGAAAGUCAGUUCUGGAAAAUAUCGUUUACUUUUUAUUUAUAUUUUGUUUGUUCCAACACAGAACACGAAAAAAUGUUCAUCAUUAGAUGUAGAAGGAAUAAGUGCGGCCCUAACAAGAAUCAGAAACUUUUACCAUGGACGAUAUAUUUGAAAGCGACCAAGAAAUUGAGUAAAAAAAAACAAAAUAAAGUGAAACAAAAUAAAGUGAAACAAAAUAAAAGCGAAGCUUUACCUCUGUUACGUCCUGCGGUCUUCACGAUUCUUUUCUUUCGAAGAACGCAAAGCGAUAUCUUGAACAUCAAAGGCGGAUAGAGAACGACCCGAAAAGCAAAGUAAACGUAAUAAAUCGGGAAAUCUACGAAUCUCUUUCCUUUCGGAGAGUGUAAAAUGAUAUUCAAAAUAUCGCAGACCCGCAGAUAGGGCACGAUGUGACAGGCGAGGGAAAACAAUUUUUGGUGCCUAUUCCUUUCAAUAGAGCCCUUGAGAAUCAAUAAAACUUUCCGAUAACCUAAACAAUCCUCGCCUGACAGAUCACCGGACGCGAUAUCUGCUUGAGUCAUAACUAGAGGAGCAAUAAAAUAUCAACCUCCCUCUAUAAGAACAAAUUCUCCAUUGGUCGAAACCCUGGACUCUAAACAAGUCCGAACCAAUCAUAUUAAUUUUCAAAAUCAAAGGACGCCUCCAAAGCGUCAUUGAAAAUUUCCUUAUUCGUCGGGGAUAUUAACAACUAAUGGAGAAGGAGGAGCAAGGAGGUUUAUAUACGAGUAACACCGUGCGAGCGAC